GUCGUAACAAGGUAGCCGUACCGGAAGGUGCGGCUGGAUCACCUCCUUUCUAAGGAGCUUUAUUUUAUGGUUCUCGCACCAACAGGGGUGUUUGAGGCCUUCUUUUUGAAUCCGGGUGGAGAUCAACCCGUUUGAGAGUCGUCGGUUUGGCGAUCGUGUGACAUGGUUUGGUUCAUUGCGUUGUUGGGUGUCUGGAACAGCAUGCGGAAGCGUGGUUGUUUCUAGUGGGGUUCUUGUGGCCGGCUUGCAUGUGAGUGUGUGGUUGGUUGUGGGUGUCCCGAGUCCUUGUGACUGUGUUGUUUGAGAACUGUAUAGUGGACGCGAGUAUCUUCUUUUUUGAUGCAAUUUUGUAAGUAUUUGAUUGAAUACUGAUUGUGCGGUAUGGCCUUUGUGUUGGAUCGUAUCUUUUUGUGUUCAUCUGAUGCGUUCUUAGUGUUGUGUGUUAAGGGCGCACGGUGGAUGCCUUGGC
rnacentral:misc_RNA from 1 species